rnacentral:rRNA from 1 species
CCCUUAGAUGCUCUGGGCCGCACGCGCGCUACGCUGAUGCAUUCAACAAGCCUAGCCUUGACCGAGAGGUCCGGGUAAUCUUUGAAACUGCAUCGUGAUGGGGCUAGAUUAUUGCAAUUAUUAAUCUUCAACGAGGAAUGCCUAGUAAGCGUGAUUCAUCAAAUCGCGUUGAUUACGUCCCUGCCCUUUGUACACACCGCCCGUCGCUCCUACCGAUUGAAUGUGUUGGUGAGGAGCUCGGAUUGGCAGCAGUUGGUGGUUCGCCACCGGCUAUUGCUGAGAAGUCCUCCAAACCGCCCCAUUUAGAGGAAGGAGAAGUCGUAACA